rnacentral:lncRNA from 1 species
UUGGACGUUAGCAACAUUAAGGUGCGCGUGUAAACCAAACUCUUCCCCAUGAUCGUUCCUGAGCGUUUCCAAAGAUUUGUCCAGAGAUUUGCCAUAUUCUGUGACAUCGAGCGGUAACACAAAACUGUCGGCCAUAUCCAUAAGAAGUCUCAAAGCAACUCUAGCUGUGGUUAAGUGGAAUUUGAAGUAGGGAUCGAUCAAACCUUGAAGCCAUUUGUACGUGUCGUGGACUGUGUGGUAAACAGGAUACAAUUCUUUACCAGCAUAAUACAUGUCCACGGAUGGAACUCCUGUAAAAAAUGUUUGUGGAACCCUUAUAUAGCUGUGACUGAUUGAUAUCUGACCGAUAUGUGACGAAAGAACGAAAACAUGCAUCCACCAAAUGUAGGUGCCGAUUCGGGCACCAUUUGACAACAGAGUCACUAAAAACUUACCGCAAAACUGAUAAAAACUGGCAUAAUCCGAACCGGAACCCAAAUUUAGAGAACUCAAAAGUCAACUCGCCGUUGGAAUUCAAAAUCUGUACGGAAUUUGAUAUGUUUGGUUGAACGUAAGGAAAGUCAUUCAGAUGUAUGAUUAUUAAGUGAAAGAAUGACAACCGGAAUCGAAGUGGCCUAAGAAGUGAAGAAUGGCAGGUCCCACCAGCUGUCUAGAACUGGAUCUUAUUCUGUAGUAAGUUUAAAAAUAACAUUCAUGCAGAUGUUUAUUAUAAUAGGAGAGCGAAGGAUCCACCAAUUAACUGACGGAAAGGAGUUGCAUUUUACAACAUUGGAUGAUUGGUCUUAACUGAUCUUGAAAUAACUCCAAUAUUUCGUUCUUCUAACAUGUCUUUAAGAAGUUAUUUAGUUGACAAACAAAGAAAUUGCAAAUCCGAUAAUCUAAAAAUUGCUGCAAAAUAUUUGGGUUUCUUAGACUGGCACUUUUCUUCGAGUUCGAUCUUGAUGCGAAUCAUAGGUGUUCGAGGCAGAAGGCGGAUCUUUCGCCUAAGUUCCGAAUAACGUUAACCUAGUUUUUUUUUCAAGUUGUUGGAGUUUCACAUUUGAGUACUACGGCAAAUUAACGGCUUAGCCUCGUUGAUAUCAUGAUAAUCAUGACACAUUAAACUUAAAAGUUUGUAAAAUCACAAGAGGGUUUUCACUUCAUUGCCUUGAUCGUGGCUCUCUAUUACGGCACCUUACGACCCACUCGCCAGAACAUGCAUAUCUAAAUAAUAUGAUACCGACGAGAUCUAAUUUUCUCUCUUAACGAGACAAGACCAACAUCGAUGAGGUUUUGAAUCUGGCAACAUACAAGAGUUAAUUAUUUAAAAUGAUUGUAUCUCUUAUAGUGAAGAAGGUCACUGAACUAUAUGAGCGUUAAAACUGUACAAUAAAUAUCAUUGUACAAUCUCUCGAUGUUAAUUGGUGUUGACGACCUUCGACAGAUUAGAAGAACUUUCAGUCAAACGAAGUUUUUUCGCACCGAAGCUUGUAACCAAACAUUUUUCACUUUGAAAAACUGUCAGAGUCUUUUUAGUUUCACGUUGGCGAAUAUGGCAGUAAUUCUAUAAGUAGCCGAAUGAUCUGGUGGUCUAUGAUAGGUUUCCCAUGAAUCUUGGGCGAAUAUCGAUAUGUUGGUAUAGUAUUUAAGCUUUUUUUGGCAAGAACGUGAAACUAAAAGCUAGUAUCUCGACUCUAUAAUUGUUAUCAUAAAUUAACAGGUUCGAAAUCUCAGCUUUGAUCACAUGUCAACUAAGCUGACUAAGUCUGAACUUUCGCUGAAGAUUUAAAUUUUAAGACUUUGUUAUUAUCAGUGGAACAUAGACCAAAGCGGAGUUGCUAUCGAGAAGAAAAAUCAAAAGUGUAAAACUUAUUUCUCGUAGUUAUUGCUCAACUGGUGCCAGAGUUCGCACGAAUAAUUCCGUCGUAAAUUUUUAUCUGCCCGACUCAGCACCACAUAAAUCUAUUCUAUUCUCGCUUAGGAAAGGAACAAAACUCCCGAC